AGAGGUGGCAGCUGUAGCGGAGCAGUGUGGUUGUGUGUGUCUGCGGAUCCGCCGCUCUAACUGCGGACAGUUUGCUAAGCCCGUUAGUGCCCUCGGCCGAGACUCACGCCGCAGUCAUGUCCCGCUACCUGCGGCCCCCCAACACGUCUCUGUUUGUCAGGAACGUGGCGGACGACACCAGGUCUGAAGAUUUACGGCGUGAAUUUGGUCGUUAUGGUCCUAUAGUUGAUGUGUAUGUUCCACUUGAUUUCUACACUCGCCGUCCAAGAGGAUUUGCUUAUGUUCAAUUUGAGGAUGUUCGUGAUGCUGAAGAUGCUUUGCAUAAUUUGGACAGAAAAUGGAUUUGUGGACGUCAAAUUGAAAUACAGUUUGCACAGGGGGAUCGGAAGACACCAAAUCAGAUGAAAGCCAAGGAAGGAAGGAAUGUGUACAGUUCUUCCCGUUAUGAUGAUUAUGAUAGAUACAGACGGUCUAGAAGCCGAAGUUAUGAAAGAAGGAGAUCAAGAAGUCGGUCUUUUGAUUACAACUAUAGAAGAUCUUAUAGUCCUAGAAACAGUAGACCGACUGGAAGACCACGGCGUAGCAGAAGCCAUUCCGACAAUGAUAGACCAAACUGCAGCUGGAAUACCCAGUACAGUUCUGCUUACUACACUUGAAGAAAGAUCUGAAAGCGGAAAAAGAACCAAAGAAGGGCAGUUCAAGCGACCAAAGGGUGGGUGGAAGGUGCUGCAGUAUGAAUACUGUACGAAUAUUUUGACUCUGGUCUGAAAAGAUAAAAGAAUGUUAUCGAAAACUACAUGGAAUAAUUGAAGUCCCUUCAAGUUUGAAAGUAAGCAUUUUAGGACAAAUAAAAGGAAAUUCAACUUUGUACUUGUGGAAACUAAUCCCUAAAUAUGAAUAGGUUUAUAUUGAUUCAUGGGUAACAGGUCCAAAAUAAAUUAUUGGAAACUAGGAUGUCUGGAUAUCAAGGAAGACAGCCAUAGUCUCUUACAGUGCCUCUAUUGGUCUGUCUCAAACUGAAUUGGGUGGGGAAAGGUGUGGUCCAAUAUAAACUUCCUUGGUUAUCUCUUAAAAGUCAGUUCCAUUUUCACCAUUAUUGGCAAAUCUUGCCUUUAUAUUGGUGCCAGUGUUUUUGCUUAAUCGUUUGCUUUGUUGGCAUCUGAGUUUACUUGUAUGCCACAUACAGUUUACAUCUUCUUUUACUCUUUCCCAGGUAAAUUCCAAUUAUACUUGACAUCCAGCUAAGAGGGCCCAUCUCUUCUCAGUUCUUUCCUAGUCAGUAUGUUUAGCAAAUAUUUAUUGAGCCCUUACUGUGGGCAAAACAUUGUACUGGAUAAUUGGGGAGAAAAAUAGAUAAUUCCCUUAUUCAAUAAAUGUCUACUGAGCACAAUCUAGUGAAUCA